AUACAUUUCUCGGUCUUUUGGUUAAGAUAAAUAGUGGUAUUUGUUCUUAUCAGUUUCAUAUCUUAUAUGUGGACAAUGUGUUCAUUUUAAUAUUAAUUUUAUUUUUAUGGGUAUCAAAUAUGAUCAUGUGCCAUCGCAACGUAC
rnacentral:snRNA from 1 species